GAUCGGUUUUCGGUUUCGGAUCGGUUUUGAACACCCCUAGCAGGAAAGGGGGGGUCAGUCGCCGGAAAGAGGGUGAGGGUGAGGGAAAGGGUUCUGACCGUUGGGGGAUGGGAGGGGAGCGUAUAGAGAGGGGAAAGAGAGGAGAGAGAAACAGUAUUCAAAAACGUAAUAAGCGUUUCCAACUAUUUCGCUUGCUUUCUAGCGCUAUUCGAUAUAUUUAUAGAAAUAGGGGAUGCAAUGAUUCCAUGCUCGGAUAGUGCUGCGAGACUCCAUUUUUGCUCCAAAUAUAUAUGCAAAGAAACAGAGAAAUAAAGAAUUAGAAAAGAUCGUCUACUUCAACAGAGAAGUAAAACAGACAAAGUAGGAAGACAACGAAAUUUAUAAACUCUAUACUAAACAGAUUUUCUUGAGUAUCAGAAAGACCAACUUACUUUAAUAGAAACAAGUUCUCUGGUAGUGUCUAAACCAAAAUACAGAUUUGUAUCUCUUUUUUUAGUAACAUCUUAAAGUAUAUGGUUGUAAACCCUCUUAAAGGUCAUAGCUUAAAUUAGCAAAGCUGCCGACGCUUAUAAAGUACAUAUGGGUACGCACCAAUACUUGGUAAUAGCUGGAGCUAAAGGCUAUUUCAUUAUAAGAUAUUUUAAAAUUAUUUUGACAUAGUUUUUGAGAAAAUAUGAGCUCAAACUUAACAUUCAUAGAGGGUCAAACAAACGCAUAUCAUCAUAAGCUAACGGAGAGGGAAGAUAUAUUUUUAUAGCCAAGAUUUCUAAGAUCGCACAUGAACAAAGCUUCAGCAAUGACAAUACUCUUAAUGUAAUUACCUAAAACAUGAUUUCUAAUAGUGUCAUUAUUAGACAGUUAGUAGCACCUCAGAUUAGGAUUAACAAUUAUUUUACUUGAAACCUAAACACAUUCUUACUCAAUGCAUUAUAUACUAAUUCAUAUCUUUCACUUGAACAGAAUUCUAAAACUUACUAAGAACGAAGAAAUAAGCAAAGAUUGACACUUUUGGCUAUCACAUAGAAGAUAGGUUUGACUCCAUACGAGUAUUAGAAUAUAUUGUGUGUAUCUUUUUAUUAUUGGUAGAAUAUUCUUUCAUUAUUGUACAGUCCUAUAGUUGGUAGGAUUUUCAUUAUUGUACAGUCCUACCGUGUAUCUUUUUAUUAUUGGUAGAAUAUUCUUUCAUUAUUGUACAGUCCUAUAGUUGGUAGGAUUUGAUUUUUUUCGUUAUUGUGCAGUCCUAUAGUUGGUAGGAUUUGAUACCUCUCUGUACUCUAUAUAUACUUUCAUGAGCAAUACGAGAAAAUUAAUUCUCCCAAAACUCUCUACAUGGUAUCAUACGCCAGUGGCUUAUCGCCAAAGAAACCCUAAAUCUUCCCUCGAGCGCUGCCGACGUUCUCGGUCCGCCACCUCUCUCCGGCAUCUUACCGCACCGCCGCCGCACUAAUCGGAAGCCCUCUCUCUCGACGUCGUUCAACGCCUCCUCUCAUUUGCCUCGCGCUUCAUGGCCGCUACGACUUCAAACGAUCUUCUCCAGCCGAUUGCCAUCAA
rnacentral:lncRNA from 1 species